AUGGCGUUAUCCCUACUAAUCCACUGUUCUCCCACCGUUAACCCUCUCCGACGAUCCCCAAAACCCACCCUCCGCCGCGUCAACCACCGCGUCUGCGUGGCCAGCGCCGCCACUCCCCUCCUCCAAGUUAAUGACUUGAGGGCCAAGAUUGUCGAAUCCAACGUCGACAUUCUCCACGGCGUCAACCUCACCGUCAACCAAGGAGAGGUCCACGCCAUCAUGGGAAAAAACGGUUCCGGCAAAAGCACUUUUGCCAAGGUUCUUGUGGGGCACCCAGAUUAUGAAGUAACCGGAGGCAGUGUUGUUUUCAAAGGUGAGAAUUUGCUUGAGAUGGAACCUGAAGAAAGGUCUCUUGCGGGUCUCUUCAUGAGUUUUCAAUCCCCUGUUGAAAUCCCCGGUGUUUCCAAUGAUCUAUUUCUCGCCAUGGCCUACAAUGCUCGAAUGAAAAAACUUGGUCGAGAAGAGGUUGGACCAAUCGAGUUUUUACCUUACCUGAUGGAGAAGCUUCAGCUUGUUAACAUGAAGGCUGACUUUCUCAAUAGGAAUGUGAACCAAGGGUUCAGUGGCGGUGAACGCAAGCGCAAUGAAAUCUUGCAGCUUGCGGUUUUGGGGGCAGACUUGGCUAUUUUGGAUGAAAUUGAUUCUGGUUUGGAUGUUGAUGCGCUCAGGGAUGUUGCCAAUGCAGUUAAUAGGAUUCUCACCCCAGAAAAGUCCUUGUUGAUGAUAACUCAUUAUAGGCGGAUUCUUGAUCUUUUGAAUCCUACACAUGUCCAUGUUAUGGACAAAGGGAAAAUUGCAAGGUCAGGCGACAUAUCGAUGGUAGAAGCUAUUGAGGCUGAUGGAUAUGAAACAGUCUCUGCUUUAACAUAAUACAGCUAGUAUCGAUGGCAGUAUUGCAUGGGCUGGCAUUCAGUAGUUGCAUCUAAUGGAACUUUCUUCCGUAUGUAGUGAGGCAGUUGCACUAAUAUGCUGAUGGCUCCUUUCAUCUUUUCCCUUUCUUUGUUCCAUUUUGAAAACGAGGAAGCAGACUGUCUAAAGCUCAUGCUGACAGAGAUGUUGAUGUUUCUUGACUUGGGACGUAUAGUCUUCUGGGUAUUAUUUCCGUAGGCUUUGAUAGAGAAAUAUCGAAACUAUUGAAUUUUUCCUUUUUUUUUUUUGUUUUUAAUGUAAGGGCCUUUUCAUUGUUAAAUAUCAACUUGGGGCACACAUGCCUCGUUUGCUGUAAAUGCAGUAAGGAUUGAAAUAGCUGUCAAACUACAUUAAUAUUAGCCACAUUUUUGUUUUGGUAUUGGCAGUUGGCCUAGCCUUUUCAUGGGCAUAUUAAAAAACUUUAAAUUAUUGCUUU